GCGGGUGUGGUGGAAUUGGUAGACACGCUAGACUUAGGAUCUAGUGCCGAAAGGUGUGAGAGUUCGAGUCUCUCCGCCCGCA
rnacentral:tRNA from 1 species